AGCAGCCCCAGAGCUCCAGCUGAAGGCCUGGCAGUCCCGGCGGCACCACAUGGCUGAGCGGAGGACACAAGGCAUUUCCAAGGCAGCUUGGCCUCCUGCCAGUGGGUCCCCAGAUGCCAUGCAAGACACACCUGAGCGAGGCAAGAGAAUAGGUGUGUGUAAACAGUGUUUGAAAAAGAAAAUAGCUGUACAAAUACAGCGCUUGUUAACACAGGUGUUUACAGGCGGAAUUAUUUUUCCUGGGCUGCUAUCUCCCAAGCUGCUUUGUGUGGCUCGGCACACCUGCAGCGACUUCCCCAAACGGGGAAGGUCCGAGGGGGAUGUGGCUGGUCCGGAUCGAUUGUACCACACAGGAGGUCAGCGAUCAGCCUUGGGCCAGGCUAGCGUGCAGCUUCCCUGACAGACAUUUCUGCACCCCCCCUCUCCCCACACCCCCCGACGUGCUGGAACAGGACCCAGUCUGUUCACCACUUCCUGCUCAGCCAACGCAGCUGUUCUGCCAGCCCCGGGGCAGUGGCAGUGGCAGUAAGAGGCCCAUUUCCGGGGGUAAGAGCCAGCCACUCUCUGGGCACAACAGUCUGAGAGGGGAGAGGAGUGAUUUGCAUUUUAUAGACAGAAACUGAAGACGCUCACCCCAGAUCGCGGAGCAUGAUCCACAGGGAGAAACUGCAGCAAGAGACGCACCCCACCCCGACCCCAGAACUCUCUGGAGGGAGCAUCAGAGGAUCCAGAGCAUCUAGGAGGUGCAGGCUAGCUUCCUCUCGUGCCUCAAUAAAGCCAUGGAACUCAGCAACUUGAGAUGCAAUGAGCGAUUCUGUCCCACCUGGAGAAAGCUAGCCAGAAAGAACAAAGAGAACACAGGCCGAGACUGGGAGUCCUCGGCCCAAGAGGGCCACAGAGCCCUGCAGGAGCACCAGGGCAAGGGAAGAAAUACCCUAAAUGCUGACAGCUUUGACACCACUGCACCCAUGAACCAGGAGAAAAGACCAUUUCUUGACUGGGGCAGAAAACCGCUCUGGGCAAGAUGAGGAACGUUAAGGCUUUCUGGAAACUUCCUGUGAGAACCUUUGCUCCAGUCCAGCCUCCCCCUCACUGACCAGCGUGACCCACUGCCUACUAUGCAGGUGGGAAAGACAGAUCUCGAUCUCUCUCCAGCCUGCAUCUAUUACUUGGAGACUGUGUUGGGUUUUAAUACAGGCAUACUAACUCCUGGCAUGUGCCUGGCUCUAUGACACUAUCAGAAAAAGAAGGGUCACUUUUUUUUCUGGAAGGAAGACCUGGCUACCCUCCAAAUUCCUCCUCUCCCUUCCAGGAGGCCACCUCUAUGCAAUGAAGGACUCCAGGGCCAACCAGCAUGGGACAGGACCAAGGGAGGGAAGGAGGGAGGAGAGGGGGAGGAACCGAUUGAGAGUGAGAUUUGAAAGCUCGCCAGUGAGAAGCCGAAAGGUUUUCUGUUUGAACUAUGACAAGUCUCUAAAAGAUGAGACCGUGUCUAAUUAGACGUGCUCACAUCUCUCUAAUGAAGAUAGUCUCAUGUCAUCAUUGCAGAUCCUCGGAAGUAGUCAGAAGACUCUGCUCUCCGGGCUCCGUGAUGACCCCACCCACCUGCAUGGCCCUCCACCCCACUUGCCCUCCAAAGCAAGGGUGCAACGCAGAGUUAAGGCCGAGCAGGGGGAGAGAAGCCCCACACACGUCCCUUCGGUGGGCAUCUUUUCCCCAAGCUCUCAAUCCCUUUGAGUCUCCACGGGAUUAAGACAGCAACAGUGCUCUGACUUGAAUGUGAAGUAUGCUUCGCAGGACUGUGAUUUGAAUGCUUGCCUGUUCCCCAGAAAGGAGCCCCCUGUGGGAAGUAUGUAGAGAGCCUUUUGUGAGGUAGGGCCUAGCCUGAACUCUGUGUGCCCUACCCGGCACCCCAUGAACAUGCCACCACUCAUCA